rnacentral:rRNA from 1 species
UGGAAACAGAUGCUAAUACCGGAUAACAACAGAUGAUGCCUAUCAACUGUUUAAAAGAUGGUUCUGCUAUCACUCUUGGAUGGACCUGCGGUGCAUUAGCUAGUUGGUAGGGUAACGGCCUACCAAGGCGAUGAUGCAUAGCCGAGUUGAGAGACUGAUCGGCCACAUUGGGACUGAGACACGGCCCAAACUCCUACGGGAGGCAGCAGNG